rnacentral:misc_RNA from 1 species
GAUGAAGAACGCAGUGAAAUGCGAUAAGUAAUGUGAAUUGCAGAAUUCAGUGAAUCAUCGAAUCUUUGAACGCACAUUGCGCCCCUUGGUAUUCCGAGGGGCAUGCCUGUUCGAGCGUCAUUACACCACUCAAGCUAUGCUUGGUAUUGGGCGUCGUCCUUAGUUGGGCGCGCCUUAAAGACCUCGGCGAGGCCACUCCGGCUUUAGGCGUAGUAGAAUUUAUUCGAACGUCUGUCAAAGGAGAGGAACUCUGCCGACUGAAACCUUUAUUUUUCUAGGUUGACCUCGGAUCAGGUAGGGAUACCCGCUGAACUUAAGCAUAUCAUAAGCGGAGGA